rnacentral:rRNA from 1 species
CCUACGGGAGGCAGCAGUGGGGAAUAUUGGGCAAUGGAGGAAACUCUGACCCAGCAACGCCGCGUGAAUGAUGAAGGUCUUCGGAUUGUAAAGUUCUUUUCUACGGGAAGAAAAAAGUGACGGUACCUUAGGAAUAAGCCUCGGCUAACUACGUGCCAGCAGCCGCGGUAAUACGUAGGAGGCAAGCGUUAUCCGGAAUGACUGGGCGUAAAGGGUGCGUAGGUGGUUCAGCAAGUUAGUAGCGUAAUUCCGGAGCUCAACUUCGGCACUACUACUAAAACUGUUGGACUUGAGUGCAGGAGGGGCAACUGGAAUGUCUAGUGUAGCGGUGGAAUGCGUAGAUAUUAGGAAGAACACCGGUGGCGAAGGCGAGUUGCUGGACUGUAACUGACACUGAGGCACGAAAGCGUGGGGAGCAAACAGGAUUAGAUACCCCUGUAGUC